rnacentral:rRNA from 1 species
UGCGAUAAGCGCCGGUAAGGUGAUAUGAACCGUUAUAACCGGCGAUUUCCGAAUGGGGAAACCCAGUGUGACUCGUCACACUAUCAUUAACUGAAUCCAUAGGUUAAUGAGGCGAACCGGGGGAACUGAAACAUCUAAGUACCCCGAGGAAAAGAAAUCAACCGAGAUUCCCCCAGUAGCGGCGAGCGAACGGGGAGGAGCCCAGAGCCUGAAUCAGCAUGUGUGUUAGUGGAAGCGUCUGGAAAGGCGCGCGAUACAGGGUGACAGCCCCGUACACAAAAGCGCAUGUGCUGUGAGCUCGAUGAGUAGGGCGGGACACGUGGUAUCCUGUCUGAAUAUGGGGGGACCAUCCUCCAAGGCUAAAUACUCCUGACUGACCGAUAGUGAACCAGUACCGUGAGGGAAAGGCGAAAAGAACCCCGGCGAGGGGAGUGAAAAAGAACCUGAAACCGUGUACGUACAA